rnacentral:rRNA from 1 species
GAUGAACGCUGGCGGCGUGCCUAAUACAUGCAAGUCGAGCGAACAGACGAGGAGCUUGCUCCUCUGACGUUAGCGGCGGACGGGUGAGUAACACGUGGAUAACCUACCUAUAAGACUGGGAUAACUUCGGGAACACGGAGCUAAUACCGGAUAAUAUAUUGAACCGCAUGGUUCAAUAGUGACAGACGGUUUUGCUGUCACUUAUAGAUGGAUCCGCGCCGCAUUAGCUAGUUGGUAAGGUAACGGCUUACCAAGGCAACGAUGCGUAGCCGACCUGAGAGGGUGAUCGGCCACACUGGAACUGAGACACGGUCCAGACUCCUACGGGAGGCAGCAGUAGGGAAUCUUCCGCAAUGGGCGAAAGCCUGACGGAGCAACGCCGCGUGAGUGAUGAAGGUCUUCGGAUCGUAAAACUCUGUUAUUAGGGAAGAACAAAUGUGUAAGUAACUAUGCACGUCUUGACGGUACCUAAUCAGAAAGCCACGGCUAACUACGUG